rnacentral:rRNA from 1 species
GGACCCUGUCCUCCUAUUUUCAGUUGGUUUUGGCAGCGCGAGGACUAGGGUAAUGAUUAAUAGGGAUAGUUGGGGGCAUUAAUAUUUAAUUGUCAGAGGUGAAAUUCUUGGAUUUAUGAAAGAUUAACUUCUGCGAAAGCAUCUGCCAAGGAUGUUUUCAUUAAUCAAGAACGAAAGUUAGGGGAUCGAAGACGAUCAGAUACCGUCGUAGUCUUAACCAUAAACGAUGCCGACCAGCGAUUAGGAGACGUUGAAUACAAAACACCACCAUCGGUGCGGUCGUCCUUGGCGUCGGUCUUUCGGGGCCGGCGCGGGGACGGCUUAGCCCGGUGG